GACGAACGCUGGCGGCGUGCUUAACACAUGCAAGUCGAACGGAAAGGCCCUGCUUUUGUGGGGUGCUCGAGUGGCGAACGGGUGAGUAACACGUGAGUAACCUGCCCUUGACUUUGGGAUAACUUCAGGAAACUGGGGCUAAUACCGGAUAGGAGCUCCUGCUGCAUGGUGGGGGUUGGAAAGUUUCGGCGGUUGGGGAUGGACUCGCGGCUUAUCAGCUUGUUGGUGGGGUAGUGGCUUACCAAGGCUUUGACGGGUAGCUGGCCUGAGAGGGUGACCGGCCACAUUGGGACUGAGAUACGGACCAGACUCCUACGGGAGGCAGCAGUGGGGAAUAUUGCACAAUGGGCGGAAGCCUGAUGCAGCAACGCCGCGUGCGGGAUGACGGCCUUCGGGUUGUAAACCGCUUUCGCCUGUGACGAAGCGUGAGUGACGGUAAUGGGUAAAGAAGCACCGGCUAACUACGUG
rnacentral:rRNA from 1 species